rnacentral:lncRNA from 1 species
UGAUAGAAUGAACUUUUUAUUGAAGGUGAAAAAUAAAUGAAAAAUAUCGGUGACAAAAGUCUCCAUGAUGGUUGAUGAAAUUCUGCUAUCUUUUUUGACUAGAUCCCUAAUAUAAGAGCAUCUUUACCGGCAAGUCUCUCCAAAUUAAGCUUCUCAUAUUAUUUUAUUAAUUAAUGAAUAAGAUAAAUAAUUAAAUUUAAAGAUUAAAAUAAAUUUCAGUGAAUAAAAGACAUUUAUAUGGCUUUGUAGUCUCUUCAAGUGAUUACAAAGGCUAGUAACCUUGCGGAAUUGCGUAAUCGAGUCGUAAACGCCAUUACGCCAAAAUUUUGCCAAUCAAAAAAAGUUGCGGGAUAAAAAAACCGUAAAAUGUAAAUUUAUGUUUUUCU